rnacentral:lncRNA from 1 species
AAGUUCUUGAUCUCAUGGAUAAAAGAUUGAAGAGGCUAGAGAGAUGGCUCAGUGGUUAAGAGCCUGCAUGACUCGUCCAGAGGAUCUGAGCUUGGUUUCAAGUGCCCAUUAUCAGGGCAACUCCCAGCUGACUGUGCAGUGCCCUCUUUGGCAUCCGUAGGCAGCAGCACUCACAUGUGCACACAUCCUCCUCACUACUCCCCACCACAAUAAAAAUAAAUCCUUUUAAAAAAAUGUGCUUUGAAGGGUAUAUUUUACUAGAGUCAGUAAGAAAAGGCAGGGCAGGCAAGCUAGAGAUCUCAGCAUUGUCAUGAGGAAGGAAAUGUAAAGAAGACAAAAAGGAAAAAGUCACAUCCUUAAAUAGAACAGGAGGAAAACGACCUCUUGGGGGACAGGUGACUCACGGAAGAACUGGGGUAUUCAGAGCCCAUCACCAAACUGCCCUCCUUGGUAGACGUACUUUAUGGGGCGGUCUCACUGCAGCCCAGGUGGCCUGGGAUUAGCAGCCAUCCUGAACGCUGCUUUUAUAGACCAGAAGCUCUACACUUGGAUGGAAAUAGUAAUACUACUUGGUUUAGGUUUGUAAUCAGUCAAGAGUUGCUCUAUGUGGCCUAGGACUCAGAUGUGUUUAAGAUUAGAAAGAAUAAUAACUGUAUGUAGUGUUGUUAGCUUAGUGUCUAGUUUUAUUAGCUUUGGAUCAGGAAGGGAUGAAUAACAGUUUUGAACUAUGUCAAUUUACCUUUAAAAUGGUUUACAAAUUUGUUUAUGGGAGUUCUUACAUGUGUGUGCACACAUACAUCAGAGGACAACCUCAAAUAUUGUUCCUUAGAGUAGUUCACCUUGUUAUUUGAGACAGUCUCUCAUUGGCCUUGAACGUAUAACAAGAUGGCCAGCUUGUCUACUUGUUUUUACCUCCCAGCUUCUACAUCAGUGCUGGGCAUCUGACCUCAGGUCCUUAUGCUAUUAUGGUAAACACUUUGCUGUCUGAGACAUGUCUCUCUAAUCCCAGUUUACCUGUUGGCAAAGGCUAGUUUUGGACUAAUUUGAAGCUCCUGUCAUUGGCUCAUUUUAAAUUUUCCUUAGUUUUUGUUUUGUUUUGUUUUGAGAGUGUGUAUGUGCCCAUCUUGAUGAAGGUACAGAGGUCAGAGGACAGCUUGCCUGAGUUAGGUGAUCAGGGUCCUGCUCAGUCUUGGCAGGAAGCUCCCGCAUCUGUUAAGCCAUUUUCCUAGCCCUCAAAACCUGAGUUUUCAGAAGUUUAACUAUAACGUGUGCUAGAAUUUUUUUUAAUCUUUUUUGGGAGUUUUUGCAAUUUGAUUCUGUAGGUUUAUAGUUAUUAUCGGAAUUAGGAGUUUCCUAGCCCUGCUUUCUUUCUCAUCUCUUUGUGUAACUUCUAUGACAAAAUGUUAGAUCUUUUUGUUAUAGCCCCAGUGGUAUCGGAAGUUCUGGUAGGUUUUUUUCUAUUUGUUUUUGCUCCCAAUUUGUUUUCUCUCAUUUCAGAUUAGGUUUGUUUGUUUGUUCUUUGCUUCUCUGGUGCUCUGGUUCAUUCUCAUUGAUGCCCAUGAUCUAUUGAUAAGAUCAUAUGACAUUUUUAUUUGAAUUAUACAUAUUUCUAUACAAUACAGUCCCUACUUUCUUCCCUCCCAUCCACACUUGUUUUCCCCAUCCUGUUAAGAUGGUCUUGCUAUGCUGGCCUUAAACUAGGUAGCUAGCAUAGGUUGACCUCAAACAUGCAGGCCCUUUGCCAGUCUCCCGAGUGUCAACAUUAUAGGGAUGCACCGUUAUGCCUGGUUCACUUACAGCUUUUAUUCCCAAAGUUCCCAUUUUUCCCCCAUAUUCUAUGUUUUUAUUUGCUAAGACUGUUUAACAUUUGUUUCAAAUGUUCUUCUAAAUACUUGCUGAAGAAUUUUUAUCAGGGCUACUUGCAAAACUUUUGUUAGAUAAUUCUAACAUCUGUAUUGUCUUAGUGUUGGCAUCUAUUAGCUGAUGCUCCCCCACCCCCGCCCACAGCUCUCUUGAGACCUGCCUGAUUCUUUGUAUGACCAGUGAUUUUCUUUUAAAUUAAAAACCUUGAUAAUUUUGUAUUUUAAAUGACCUGUUCUGAAUAUGUAAUUCUUCUAAUACAUACAUGAUUAAGCCAUAGCUUAAACAUUUCUUUCUUUCUUUUUCUUUCUUCAAGACAGGGUUUCUCUGUAUAGUCCCUCUGGCUGUCCUGGAACUUGAUCUAAAGACCAGGCUAGCCUGGAACUCAGGGAUCUGCCUCUCUUUGUCCCCAAGUACUAAAAGGCGUGCAGUACCACUCUUGGCUUUUUGUGGGGGUUUUGAGUCAAUUUCAUGUGGCCUGGAUAGUGUGGCUCCAAAUCCACUUUGUAUAAUAAGAUGACUUUGAACUUUGUUUUGUUUUGUAUUUUUUGAGACAGGAUAUCUCUGUGAAAUUCUGACUGUCUUGGAACUCUAUCUGUAGACCAGACUGGCCUUGAACUCAGAGAUCUGCCUGCCUUUGACUCCUGAAUGCUGCUGGGAUUAAAGGCAUAAACCACCAUUCCUGAUUUUCCUCUUUCCAGUCUUUCAAGUGGUGGAAUCACAGAUGUUUGCCACCAGGCUUGGCUUGAGCCAGACUGCCUUCCUGCCUGCCUUAUUUCCUUUCUUCCUUCCUUCUUUUCAUAUUUAAAUUGUAUGUAUUUACUUGUGAGCAAGUGCAUGUCUGGAGGUAUAUGCCUACCUAUGAGUCAGUUCUCUCUUUCCACCAUGUGGGUGUGAAGGAUUGAAUUAAGGUCAUCAGAAUUGGCAGCAAGGGGUUUUGAUGACCCCUGGUGUGAGUAUUUCUUUUAGCCAGCAUCAUGACAUUGAUUGCUGAGAAUAUGGACGAUAUUCUUUUACGACAGAAAUGACAUCAGAUGUACCAUCGCUGGGUCCCACCAUUGCUUCUGGAAACCCUGGACCUGGGAUUCAAGGUGGAGGAGCUGUUGUACAGAGGGCUAUUAAGCGACGGUCAGGGUAAGUUUGAAUGUUUAUCAUCCGUGUGUUUCUCUUGUACCAUCAACUUUUGAGUUAGUUGCUGUUGGCUCUUGUUUAUUCCUGACCACACAUCUAAUUGAUUACUUACUAUACUGCUGUCACAUAACUAAAACUAACUCUUAGUCCCUGGAUUAUUCCUUAUCCAGGCUCUCUAUUUUAAGUAAAUUUCUUUAAUUUUUUUUGUAUAAUUUGAAUAUAAAUAUAGCUGUAAAGAAAAAAAUGAGGACUGGAGAGAUGGCUCAGUGGUUAAGAGCACUGAGGUCCUGAGUUCAAUUCCCAGCACCCACAUGGUGGCUCACAACCAUCUGUAAUAGAAUCGGAUGCCCUCGUCUGGUAUGUUUGAAGACAGCUACAGUGUGCUCAUACAUAAAUAAAUGUAUCUUAAAGGAAAGAAAAGGAUGAAACGGUCACACCUAUUACUUAUCAUCCGACCUCACUCACAGUGCCUGUAUGUCACGUAGGGUUUUGGCUUUUAUUACUUACAUCGUUUUCACAUAAAAAUUUCUAUACAGGUUAAAAAUUGUUUUCUAGUAUCUUUAUUGAUAAGCCUGUUUAAAAAAAAAAAAAACGAAGCCAAACCAAACCAAAAUUUUCUGAAAGGUAAAGGGACUGUGGCAAAGAAGAGUUUCACUGUUGGUAAAAACAAACAAACAAAACCAAACC